GAAAGCCUAUCUCAGUUCGGAUUGGAGGCUGAAACCCGCCUCCAUGAAGUUGGAUUCGCUAGUAAUCGCGCAUCAGCCAUGGCGCGGUGAAUACGUUCCCGGGCCUUGUACACACCGCCCGUCAAGCCAUGGGAGCUGGGGGGUGCCUGAAGUUCGUGACCGCAAGGAUCGACCUAGGGCAAAACCGGUGACUGGGGCUAAGUCGUAACAAGGUAGC
rnacentral:rRNA from 1 species